rnacentral:rRNA from 1 species
UAAGGAAUAUUGGUCAAUGGGCGCAAGCCUGAACCAGCAACGCCGCGUGGAGGAAGAAGGGUUUCGGCUCGUAAACUCCUUUUAGGUGGGACGAGACAGGACGGUACCACCUGAAUAAGUCUCGGCUAACUACGUGCCAGCAGCCGCGGUAAAACGUAGGAGACGAGCGUUAUCCGGAUUUACUGGGCGUAAAGCGCGUGCAGGCGGUUCAAUAAGUCAUAUGUGAAAGCACCUGGCUCAACUGGGUGAGGCCAUGUGAGACUGUUGAACUAGAGAGAGGUAGAGGCCAACGGAAUUCCGGGUGGAGUGGUGAAAUGCGUAGAGAUCCGGAGGAACACCAGUGGCGAAGGCGGUUGGCUGGGCCUACUCUGACGCUCAGACGCGACAGCAUGGGGAGCGAACGGG